rnacentral:rRNA from 1 species
UGGGGAAUAUUGCGCAAUGGGGGGAACCCUGACGCAGCCAUGCCGCGUGAAUGAAGAAGGCCUUCGGGUUGUAAAGUUCUUUCGGUAUUGAGGAAGGUUGAUGUGUUAAUAGCACAUCAAAUUGACGUUAAAUACAGAAGAAGCACCGGCUAACUCCGUGCCAGCAGCCGCGGUAAUACGGAGGGUGUGAGCGUUAAUCGGAAUAACUGGGCGUAAAGGGCACGCAGGCGGUUAUUUAAGUGAGGUGUGAAAGCCCUGGGCUUAACCUAGGAAUUGCAUUUCAGACUGGGUAACUAGAGUACUUUAGGGAGGGGUAGAAUUCCACGUGUAGCGGUGAAAUGCGUAGAGAUGCGGAGGAAUACCGAAGGCGAAGGCAGCCCCUUGGGAAUGUACUGACGCUCAUGUGCGAAAGCGUGGGGAGCAAACAGGAUUAGAUACCCUGGUAGUCCACGCUGUAAACGCUGUCGAUUUGGGGGUUGGGGUUUAACUCUGGCGCCCGUAGCUAACGUGAUAAAUCGACCGCCUGGGGAGUACGGCCGCAAGGUUA